rnacentral:pre_miRNA from 1 species
UUUAUGUUUGUUAGCCUAGCCUCCCCCAAAGCUUUUACUGAUUUAUAUAAAACCAGUAAAAGCAUUGGGGGAGGCUAGGCUGACAAACAUAAA